rnacentral:rRNA from 1 species
AGCCAGACUCCUACGGGAGGCAGCAGUGGGGGAUAUUGCACAAUGGGGGGAACCCUGAUGCAGCGACGCCGCGUGGGUGAAGAAGUAUUUCGGUAUGUAAAGCCCUAUCGGCAGGGAAGAAAUUGGACGGUACCUGACUAAGAAGCCCUGGCUAACUACGUGCCAGCAGCCGCGGGAAUACGUAGGGGGCAAGCGUUAUCCGGAUUCACUGGGUGUAAAGGGAGCGUAGACGGCAAUGCAAGCCAGAUGUGAAAGCCCGGGGCUCAACCCCGGGACUGCAUUUGGAACUGUGUAGCUGGAGUGUCGGAGAGGCAGGCGGAAUUCCUAGUGUAGCGGUGAAAUGCGUAGAUAUUAGGAGGAACACCAGUGGCGAAGGCGGCCUGCUGGACGAUGACUGACGUUGAGGCUCGAAAGCGUGGGGAGCAAACAGGAUUAGAUACCCGAGUACA